UGUAUAUGUCCUACAUGAUCUG
rnacentral:siRNA from 1 species